rnacentral:lncRNA from 1 species
CUGGUUUGCUUGUUCAUUUCUGACAUCUGACUUCAGGAAAGAUUUUUAAAACUUCCAGAAUUCAUCACUUUGUGCUCCUUCCUCAGACCUGGCUCCACUUCUGGGUUCUUAGGCAUACCUUCUCUUAGCUAUUCCAGGAUCCCCUUUGGCUGUAGCAGUUCUAAGAUGCUUUUCCCAAGAUAAGAAGAACCUCAUUUCUAUCAUUUCAAGUAAAAUUAUUCAUACUUGUUCCAAUUGGACUUUUAAAAAUGGUUUAUUCAUAACCAAUCUGUGUGACCAUGGAAAUGACUGCCCUUAUUUGGUUUAAACCAAACAAAAUCCAUUCCUUAAAGUACAAAUUUGAGGUCUUGGGUUAAAGGUGGAGGUGUUCUCCCAAAAUCACCUGGAAUGUUACUACAAAUACAUAAGAAAAAAAGAAAUGGCAGACAACAAAGUGUCUGUUCCAUCCAUAAGCAUAAAUGUACACAUCCAGUCCUAUUCCUAAGAUGGUAUGUUGCCUAAAUCCUCACCUAAUACAGUCCCAGCUUCCGUUAUUUGUUAUGAUUCUAAUUCACAAACUUAGGUGUGAAACACAUCUCACUUAUGGACAUCCUCGACAUCCACACCCAACUGAUUCCGUCUGAGAUCACCUAAACUCUAAUAGCCCUGAUAUCAACACUAUUCUUGAUUAUCACUAUUAAAUGCUUAUGUGAAUUUCAUAUCUACUGCUGAUAUCUUAAAUGCAGGUACAACUGACUGAAAAAGAAAUGAGAAAAAAACAAAGUUCAGAAACUCAACUGUGCAUUCAUUCUGUGGUUAUCAAUGCUUCAAAGACCAAACUAAUAGUGCCAGCAAAACAGGGUAUUGGAGCAGAACAUUAAAAUAAAGACUCAUCAUCAGUCCUCACACUCUCAUUCUGUGCAUUAUAGUGUACAUUACUGAAGAGAAAAAUGUCCUAAGUAAAUUAUAAGGUUUUAUCCUCUAAAUAGCUCAUCAGUUUCUUAUAAAAAUUCUGAUAGUUAUCAGGAAUUGCAUCAUUUUAUGGUAACUACAGAUUACAGAUUCUAUCUGAAUGUCCCCACAAAGCCUCUUGCACCCCGAUGUGAGGGCUUGAAGAAGGUGAUUGGUUAAUGGGGAUGCUACGCCAGGCUUGGUGUCAGGAUGUGGGCCUGGUCAGAAGAGGUGGGUCAGUGCGGGUGUGACCUGGGAGGGUGUAUCUUGCUCCCUGGCCCACACUUUACCAUAUGCCUCCUGGCCUCCACCAGGCAAGCAGCAUUUCUAUCAAUGUGCACCUCUGACAUGCCAUCCUGCCCUCCUGGAACUAGGUAACUAUGAACUGAAAUGUGAGCCAAAACAAACCCCUAUUCCCUUAAUUUGUAGUGUUGAGUAUUGUGUCUCAGGACAAUGAGUAAUAAAGAUUUUGGUACCAUUGCUGCGACUGUACCUCACCAGGUGGUUCAGAAGCCUUUGGAAGAAGUUCACAGCAGUUUGGAAAGGUUUGGAGAUGCCAGCUGGAGAAGGACCCCUAGAAUGCUAUAAUCAGGGCUUGAUGAAAGAUUCUGGUCAGAGCUCAGAUGGAUUGUUGAAGAUAAAGACCAGACUUAGGAGAUUUCAGUUGAGAAGGAGGAUACCACUGGCAGUUGCAUCCAGGUGAUGUAUGUUACCCUCUGGCAGAAAAUUUGUCUACAUUUUGUUCAUAUCCCAAGAUUUGUGGGAACCUUAUAAUAAUGGUGGAAGAAUGAUUAAUCUGAUAGAG